rnacentral:rRNA from 1 species
AGACCCGAAACCCGGUGAUCUAGCCAUGGGCAGGUUGAAGGUUGGGUAACACUAACUGGAGGACCGAACCGACUAAUGUUGAAAAAUUAGCGGAUGACCUGUGGCUGGGGGUGAAAGGCCAAUCAAACCGGGAGAUAGCUGGUUCUCCCCGAAAGCUAUUUAGGUAGCGCCUCGUGAAUUCAUCUCCGGGGGUAGAGCACUGUUUCGGCUAGGGGGCCAUCCCGGCUUACCAACCCGAUGCAAACUGCGAAUACCGGAGAAUGUUAUCACGGGAGACACACGGCGGGUGCUAACGUCCGUCGUGAAGAGGGAAACAACCCAGACCGCCAGCUAAGGUCCCAAAGUCAUGGUUAAGUGGGAAACGAUGUGGGAAGGCCCAGACAGCCAGGAUGUUGGCUUAGAAGCAGCCAUCAUUUAAAGAAAGCGUAAUAGCUCACUGGUCGAGUCGGCCUGCGCGGAAGAUGUAACGGGGCUAAACCAUGCACCGAAGCUGCGGCAGCGAACGUAUCACCCAAGACAACUUUACGGAGUUGACGAUUGACGGAGCGAAGCGACGUCAAAGCGUUCAUUAAAGUCGAGUUGGCUUAGGGAUACGUUCGUUGGGUAGGGGAGCGUUCUGUAAGCCUGUGAAGGUGUGUCGUGAGGCAUGCUGGAGGUAUCAGAAGUGCGAAUGCUGACAUAAGUAACGAUAAAGCGGGUGAAAAGCCCGCUCGCCGGAAGACC